GGAGCUACACUUCCAUCAUCAGUGCAGGAAAUGCUUUCUCUUGCUAUUUGAAUUGCAAAGAGAGCUCUUUACCAUUACAGAGAACAUUUAAUCCAGGAGCACUGCUGAGAAUUUUAGCCUGGAUGGUUAGCAAACACACAUGAGCAUAGUGUGGUGGGACUUUUCUGCAGGGAAAGAAUGCAGGUGGGUGACGUCCCUCUUUGGCAUAGACCCCCUUAUUUACAGAGAAAGUGUACAAGCUGUUUACAGUAGAAAUAAUAACUACAGUCAGUUUCCUUACUCGGAAAUUUCUGCCUUCCUCUUCUAUGCUAUCCGUACUGGAGGGUCAUUCCCUGCCUUUCGUGUGAAACUCGACAGCUAUGCACGGACCUGGGCACAUGCAGGGGCAGCGAGUAACCUCGCAGCCCUGAGGUUGCCCCUUCCAUAAGCCCCUGCAGGACACAACCGGCACUCACCUGGGAGUGCGUGCAGGGGCUGCGGGCCGCCUGCCCACGUCCCCGGGGGCUGCCCAGCAUCCCCAGCGAAGCCGGUGGGCAGCCGGGCUGGGAAAGGCUUAAUUUCAGCGGGGUUUCCUCGGGGCGGGUCCGCUGCUAUCCCUGUCUCCGGGGCUGCGGCGGGAGCGGCCACCCCCGGGCUCCCCGCUCCGGCGCUGUCCGGUCCCCGGUGCUUAAGUGCCACCACCCCCCGCCCGCCGGAGGACCGCGGUCCCGCAACCCCGGGGCGGAGGAGCCGCCCAUCGCCAUCUCCCCCGUGUGAGCCGGUGGGAUUCGGGGGAGGAAACUUUGCCCCCCCCCCCCCCAGCAGGCGAGGCAGAAAGGGAAGCGCUGCGGGAGCUCGCGCCCCGCGGCUGGCGAGGGGAAUUGUAGUGGAAACAGGUUGUUGGGCUCUCGUCGUAGGAGGAAGGGGCGGCUCUGUAUUACCAGCUAGCCAAAUCUGGGCUCUGGGAAAUGGAGACGGAGCUGCUGCUUUUCCAGACAGCGAUGUGCUGAGGGAAAUGGACAGCGAAUUACUACUGCAGGAGAGCUUUGCUCCAAAAUCGCCUCUUCCCAGGAAGCUAAUACACUCCCUGAGCUCCUGAAGUUCUAGCAGUUGCUAGCUCAGCUUGGGGUUAACCACAGCAAGUUUCUGCUGCAGGAGUCCCGGUUUGCAGGGGUCAGGCAGGUGAUUUUUUCCUUCUUUCAAUUUUUGCUCCUCUGCUGGUCCGUGAAUACUGAAUACCGAAAAGUCUGCUCAAAAGCUGGGGAGAGCUCGAGAAGAGCCACGGUGGAGAGUUGUGGUGUUUUGGAUAUAUUUGUCACAAAGUACUGCCACCUCUGCUCGAGAGAUUCAUAUGGCUUGAAGGGUGGAGCUGGAACUUGGCACUUUUACCUCCAUGGAUCCUCUAAACCUCUCUUGGUACAACGGUGACUUCGGUGACAGGAACUGGAGCAAGCCACUCAACGAGUCCAUUGUAGACCACAAGCCUCAGUAUAACUACUAUGCCAUGCUGCUCACUCUCCUCAUCUUUGUCAUUGUUUUUGGCAAUGUGCUGGUGUGCAUGGCUGUGUCCAGGGAAAAAUCUCUUCAGACCACCACUAAUUACCUGAUCGUGAGUUUGGCAGUGGCAGAUCUCUUGGUAGCAACUCUGGUCAUGCCCUGGGUGGUCUAUCUGGAGGUCGUUGGUGAGUGGAGGUUUAGUCGGAUCCACUGUGAUAUCUUUGUAACCCUUGACGUUAUGAUGUGUACUGCCAGUAUCCUCAACCUCUGUGCCAUCAGCAUAGACAGGUACACAGCAGUAGCAAUGCCAAUGCUGUACAACACCCGCUACAGCUCUAAGCGCAGGGUCACAGCCAUGAUUGCUGUGGUCUGGGUGCUUUCGUUUGCCAUCUCCUGCCCACUCCUCUUUGGCCUCAAUAACACAGAUGAGAAUGAGUGCAUCAUUGCCAACCCUACCUUUGUCGUGUAUUCCUCUAUCGUCUCCUUCUACGUUCCCUUCAUUGUCACCCUGCUGGUGUAUGUGCAGAUCUACAUAGUCCUUCAGAAGCGCAGGAAACGUGUCACCACCAAGCUCAGCAGCCGUGGCCUGGACUCAGACACACAAGCCCCGCUGAAGGACAAAUGCACUCAUCCAGAAGACGUCAAGCUCUGCACAGUUAUUGUGAAGUCCAAUGGGAGUUUCCAAGUUAAUAAGCGCAAAGUGGAGGUGGAGAGUCACAUAGAAGAGAUGGAAAUGGUGUCCAGUACCAGUCCCCCUGAGAAAACCACCAUCAAACCUGCAGCACCAAGUAACCACCAGUUGGUUGUGCCAAUGGCUUCUAACCGGGGGACAAACUCAACCCUGCAGGCAGCCUUGGACAGCCCUGGGAAACUAGAGAAGAAUGGACAUGCCAAAGAAACACCCCACACAGCCAAGGCCUUUGAGGCCCAGUCUCUGCCCAAUGGCAAGACGAGAAACUUUCUCAAGGCUCUGAGCAGGAGGAAACUGUCACAACAGAAGGAAAAGAGAGCCACUAAGAUGCUAGCCAUUGUACUUGGUGUUUUCAUCAUCUGCUGGCUCCCAUUCUUCAUCACUCACAUCCUGAACAUGCACUGCGAUUGCAACAUCCCCCCAGCAAUGUACAGCGUCUUUACGUGGCUUGGAUAUGUCAACAGUGCUGUCAACCCAAUUAUUUACACCACCUUCAACAUUGAAUUUCGUAAGGCUUUCCUGAAGAUCCUCCACUGUUAAAAGUAAAAACAGCAACCACAUUUUCCAGAAUGAGAAAAAAUAACCCCGAUGCCAUUCAUGCACACAAAUGGGCAGCCAUGGAGAGGUCUCGAGCUCUUGUAUUUGGCGUGAGGCCUGCAGUGUUACAACAGUGCCAUGCCCAUGCACCUUCUGGUGCAGAUGCAACGAGGACCUUCGCGUGGGAGGUUCUGUCAUUCCUCAUGGUGACCUUUGGACUCUGGGACACCAAUCCCAAGGGCACUUUUCAGAGCUACCCUCACACUGUGUUUGAAGCGGAAGCAAAAAUCAAGACACACUCACUUGAUUCUUGCCUGUGGUCAUCUAACCUUGAGUGCAUUAAACACAGACAGGCGCAGAGCCACGUGUUGUUAGCGGUAGGUCACUGCUGCUACCGGUUUGCGUGUUAUGUCAUUGAUACAAUUCUCACCAAAGACAAGACCAUCUUUUCUGCUUUGCAAUAGGAGCCAGGCAGAGCUUGCGGACAAUCUGUGCAAUAGCUUUGCCUUCACCUUGAGCUGGCUUACCCAGUAUUAAACUGCUGAAGCCUUGAGAAAAAUCUUUAAGACGUCCCUUUAAGUGGGCUAAGAAGGUACUGCCAACUACAGAACCAACUCCUGCAACAAUGUGGGAGUACAAGCAACAGGCAAAAGGAAGAAGGGGAGCAUAGGUCUCAUGUGGGACCACUGCACCAGUGUAAAUAUGAAUAAACAGGAUGAAUUGAACAGAAGCCUAAGCCAAAAAAACAGACGGAGUGAACUAAAGAAGUGAUACCUUGUGUUGCACGGUAUACAUUCAGAUCGAGCAGGACACCAACUACCAUCUAUCAUCAGCCAGCCCAGCAGCAAUUUCUGCCCACCAGCAUCUCAUCUCCACUCUCAUACAAGAAGUUACAAAACUAGGUGAGGAAGUUUAUAACUCAACUCACCUGAACUACUGGACUCACUGAUGAAAGACUCUUCCACAAUGUCAUGGAGGAAAAAGCUGCUGAAAAAGGGCCUAAGUCCUUCAUAUGCUUGCUAACUUGGACAAAAAAAAAGCCCAGCGCCAUUUCCUAGAGAUUAAGGAUUUGUUGGGAGAAGUUACCUGCAGCCCAUCCUUCAUUCCAAUGACAUUUUAAGCCACUCAUUCCUAACAUUCCAGGCUCAAAGGUAGCUUGUGGAAGAUACCCACUGCCCUUGGAAAGGCAGUAAUGCCUUUCUGUUCAUCUCAUCUGCAGCAGGUUUUCCUUUCCUAUUAUACAUCUGCACUUAAAGACAACAAACUAUAGCACCUUCCAUCCAUGAAUCAAGCCUUCACAACUCUUUCUGAGAGAAGACAGAAAUAUAUCACCCUCUGGCUUUACAAAAAAUAAACUAAUGCCAAGAGCAACGACAGUCUUUGCAAUCUGUUUGUCCAGCACCUGGUGCAAUGACAACCAGCCCAUAGCUGUGAUGGAUAGUGUUCGUUGCAGUCAGUCGCAUCAUGCAGGACUCUGAGGCCUCUGGCCCACAGAUCUGCGUCUGGCAAACACAGUCCUCACUGUUACUUCCAGUCUGGAAAAAAACACUGCUUUCCCAAGGACUUCAGAUGGAGGGACAUGCUGAUGAUGGUAAGGGUACUGAUAUGUUUUUUACAUCACAUUAGUGAGAAGAUUUCAUUUCUUCAUUCCUGAAGAAAAACUUAGGACCCUUGCUGUAGUCCCUAUUUUGUGAUUCAUUAUUUGUAAUUGAAGCUUUAGUUCUGCUUAUUGAGUCUUCCUGUUCCUGCUUUUCUUCCCUGAGAUUCACAGCUUCCUGAAGCCUGUGUGGCUCUCUGCACCCCUGAACAGGUUUUAAUUAAGAAGCUAGUGAAUUCUGCCUGCACUGUAUUUGGCGCUUGCCGGCUUGCUCCCACUACAGUCAUGAUACUGUUUAUCUUCCUGAUUGAAGAGUAAACUAAUUACAGUAGGUCUAACUAGCUUAUUAAAUCCUGCUGAAAUGAAAAGGAAAACAGGAAAAAAAGCCACUACCUCUGUGGUGAAAAUCUCCAGUGAAAACAUGACUCCCUGAAGAGUCAAGAAUGUGUAAUACCCAUCACAAGUACAUGUGACACCAACAACUGUCUUCAUGCAGCACUGUAAUUAAAUAGAGACUUGCACAAGCUACCCUGAUGUUA